rnacentral:rRNA from 1 species
AACGAACGCUGGCGGCAUGCCUAACACAUGCAAGUCGAACGAGACCUUCGGGUCUAGUGGCGCACGGGUGCGUAACGCGUGGGAACCUGCCCUUAGGUUCGGAAUAACUCCCCGAAAGGGGUGCUAAUACCGGAUAAUGUCUUCGGACCAAAGAUUUAUCGCCUUUGGAUGGGCCCGCGUUGGAUUAGCUAGUUGGUAGGGUAAAAGCCUACCAAGGCGACGAUCCAUAGCUGGUCUGAGAGGAUGAUCAGCCACACUGGGACUGAGACACGGCCCAGACGCCUACGGGAGGCAGCAGUGGGGAAUAUUGGAGAAUGGGCGAAAGCCUGAUCCAGCAAUGCCGCGUGAGUGAUAAAGGCCUUAGGGUUGUAAAGCUCUUUUACCCGGGAUGAUAAUGACAGUACCGGGAGAAUAAGCGCCGGCUAACUCCGUG